GGCCUGUUGGUGUAAUGGUAGCGCACCUGCAAUACUUUAUGCAUACAGAAAAUAUUUGGCGGGAGAUCCUUGUUCGACUCAAAGUCAGGCCG